UGCGUCCCGGUUGCAAAGCUGAGAUGAAUCAUCCUUGACCAGCCAAAUCAGCUGGACCUCCUCUUCCCACUCCCUGAAAUGCAGCAGGGCCCAGGGGUUAUGGGAACACCUUGCUGCACUCUCAGUGCUGGUCACUCUCCUUGGCACCUCUUGCUCUGGCUGUUGCACAGCUGAGGAAAUUCAAGCCCCCUGGGAAAAACAGGAGGAAAAUGCACCAUGGGAGAAGCAUGUGAUCAUCGAAGUCCAAAAGAAAUGAUUCUCACACUGUACUUGGAGAGGGUUGGAGAGAAGGAAUUUAAGACUCUCCCAUAUUUCUCUAAUAAGUUCCUUUGAUCACUCUCAGAGCAGAUUACAGCACUGAGUCUGAACUAACUCGGUGUCUGUAGCAGGCAGACACUCCACAACCACCACAUGUCCUACUGUCCGUGAUAAUUUUAGCGCUACCUCCUGCCUAUUCCUGUAUCUGUAGCCCAGCACACUCACAGCGACAGGAUUUCACCAAUGCCCCAAGUUACACGGUGCGAUGAUACGCAAGUCAUACAAACAAAGUAUGCUCAUGUGAGGUCUCAGUGUGGCUUCUCCCAUUUUGGGUGCUGAAAGCGAUACUUGGAUGCUGUGAGCUGCAGAACUGUUCAAAACUCAGCUGGCCCGAAGCCAGCUGGAGAUCCUUCCUAUUUUUAGACACAUCUUGAGAGAAGGAAGAGCAAGGGAGAGCCGUGAGCAAGCAUUUCCUUCCUGCUGGCACCAUACAUCUCCCCGUGGCUUUCUUUUUCACUUUCCCACUGAGACGUGCCCUGCCACCCCAUCCCCACCAAGAAACUAAUCCGGAUCAGCACAGGAAAGAACAGGAAAUGUUCUCAGAGCUCUUAUGGACCCCAACACCCCUGUCCAGAAUAAGGGAUGGAUGGACAUCAUGCUGGGAAAAGCUUCACAGCAUUGGAGGAAAAGAGAGUGAAGGAGAGGUGAAUCAAGAAGUGAACUAGUGACACACUGCUUCAGCAAGACACAUGCCAAAGAGCCAGGGGACCUCUUCUCCAGCAGUCACUGGGGAUUCACAGGAGCAGAUUCCCACAGUGACCAAAGCAGGUGCCCCUAUCUGCCCAGCACCCUGCAUUGCUCCCUAGUAAACCAGGAACCUCGCUCCGAGGCCACGUGUAUGGACCUGUGAGUAACUCAAGGCAGGCAGUACUUUGCACUUUGCUUUCUCAUUGAGGUUUAUACAGCUUAACAAGUUCUCCACGGUUCAGUGUGUGCUUAAAAGGUUCAAAGUUUCUUGUUGUUUAUAAGAAGAAUGCCUGUGGUUUAUCACCAAUGCAAUAAAACUGCUGGUAAAAAAUAAAUAAUAAAUCAUAAUUUAUAGAUCUAACCCAAGAGAAAUGUCACAGGCCAAUUCAGCACCCUUCCCAGCCAAGAUACAACAAUCAUCUACAGAUAAUUAAACUCCAUAUGAAAGCCAAGUGCACAAAUGAGAACCCAUCGGGCAAUGCCAUUAUCCCUUGUGAGGAGCUGAAAACAUCUCUUAACAACAUGGCAGCAUGAAGGACUUUGCAAACAGCCCUGUGAAUACUUGCUUGCUGGGACUCAGCCACAUUUGGAAGCCGUCACCACCAUCACCUUGGCAAAUACACCUCUGUGGGCACUCUGCACAUCCUCAGAUGAUGGUUAAACCACCCUUUGAUGCUUUCUGACUUGUGGCUACAUGAGGUAGGGGAGCAGAGCCUUCUAGACUCACUGCUAACAUCGCAACACCAUCAAUCUGAGUGUGCUGAAGUGUGCCCUAGAAAGAUAAACACACACACAUAUAGAUAUAUUAAAUAUAUUUUUAAAACAAGAGGACCAGUCACUGCCUCUGAUCCACUGCCAUUUAUAUUCAGGGAGAUGUGCCACUGCUCACACAAACAUUGGGAUGCCCUCUUUCAUGCAUGUAAUCAGAGAAAUGCAUCUGUAGGGUGUGCACAGAGGGGGAGGGCAGAACAAGCCAACUCAAGGAGACAGUAAAGCCCUCUGGUGAAGACAGAUGAAAAAGAGAGAGAAUGAUGGCAAGGUAGUGCACUAAGCAAAGCCAAUGGAUACACCGCUUUGUCAGGACACCUUGCUGCUUUUGCUGCCCAAAAGCUAUGACGAGGUGCUGAGGAGCAGAACUGACUUGUUAUUUCAGGCCCAAGUUGUGCAAAAUGGAAGAAACACAAAAAAGAUUAUAUAAGAUUAACUCAAGAGGGUGAGCAAUUAACUGUCCACAACCCCCAGUUUUGUCUUUCAGGUCACAGGUUGACAUUCCUAUUGUCCAGGAUCUAUGCUUUGGGGUACUUGGCAGACGGUGGAAAAUCCACAACUCCUGUACAAGUUGCAGAAUACUUCUGUUUUUGAAGAUAAUCCAUAUUUUCAGUCUGUCCUGAUGACUUUGUGAUGUUUGUCUGGAUCACAGAGACUGCAUAUUCCCCUGAUAACCUUGGAGAGCAGGAUAAAUAGAGGUGCUGAGGGUAGGAAAAACACAUUGUCCUGAUACAGGAGCUUGAUACGAGAGCACAAGCAAGCACAAGGGACAAUGUUUAGAGCAGGGCUGGCAAAAGAGGUAAGGAGAAAGAGCCUGAUUUUUGUAGAGCAAAAGCAAUGACUCAACAAGACUGCUGGAGAAGUAUGGCAUGGCUUUAUGUGGGCCAGCACAUCAGGAGUAAGAGUUAGAUAUUUAUUUAGCUGACUUAAAAUCAUUUUAAAAGUCCAUACAAGGUUCUGGAUUCUGAGCUGUCAUUGAGCUGUCUAUUAAACUUUUAUAUUGUUCAGCUUGUGGAAAUUGUUCAGCUUUCCACCGCAAAGUUCUUCCCCACUUUGUUUUUCACCUUCUUUUGCCCUCUUCAUCAUACUGGAAAGGGAUUUUUUUAGGAUUUCCCAAAAUGCUUCUGACAGAUAGGCUUGGCAAAUCCAAAUUUAAAGAGAAAGGCAGACCAAGGGUCCAUAGUUAUCCCCUCCUGCCAUAACCCUCAUGUUAUCCCUUCCUGCUUGUGAUAAGUCCUGCCAUGGGAAAAUGGGUAUUUUUACUUCUCUAUUUUCCUCAAGGAGUUUCCCAGAAGUAAUGGCCUUUGCCCUGUAGCCUGUAGGUCAAGCAAUUAGCUUAACCAUCUCCAUUUUUCAAUAUGUAGCUUUCUUAUUUUAUGUUUUUAAUAUAUUCUUUAAUCAGAAAUGAUAGAAAUAAUUAUAGCUCAAUAUUUUGAUUUCAUAGAAGUUUUGGGGAAAGUACCUUAAAAGAACCAUU